rnacentral:rRNA from 2 species
AAACUUUCAACAACGGAUCUCUUGGUUCUGGCAUCGAUGAAGAACGCAGCGAAAUGCGAUAAGUAAUGUGAAUUGCAGAAUUCAGUGAAUCAUCGAAUCUUUGAACGCACAUUGCGCCCCUUGGUAUUCCGAGGGGCAUGCCCGUUCGAGCGUCAUU